rnacentral:rRNA from 1 species
GAGUUUGAUCUUGGCUCAGAACGAACGCUGGCGGCAGGCCUAACACAUGCAAGUCGAGCGAACCUUCGGGUUAGCGGCGGACGGGUUAGUAACGCGUGGGAACGUGCCUCUCUCUACGGAAUAGUCCCGGGAAACUGGGUUUAAUACCGUAUACGCCCUUUGGGGGAAAGAUUUAUCGGAGAGAGAUCGGCCCGCGUUGGAUUAGGUAGUUGGUGGGGUAAUGGCCUACCAAGCCGACGAUCCAUAGCUGGUUUGAGAGGAUGAUCAGCAACACUGGGACUGAGACACGGCCCAGACUCCUACGGGAGGCAGCAGUGGGGAAUCUUAGACAAUGGGGGAAACCCUGAUCUAGCCAUGCCGCGUGGACGAUGAAGGCCUUAGGGUUGUAAAGUCCUUUCGCUGGGGAAGAUAAUGACGGUACCCAGUAAAGAAGCCCCGGCUAACUCCGUGACAGCAGCCGCU